UCUUCUGAUUCCUGAUGCUGUCUGUCAAAGCUCCUGGGAACAACCUGACAGCCAGUAGGACAGUUAAUGAGGCAGGAGCAGCUUUUGUACAGUACCUGACAACUGUUUGAAGUAAAUGGCCAAAGGUAUUUGUGGUUGAUUUUGUGCCGUGCUUGACAAUCCAAGCUGACUAUCAGGAGUUGCUCCGACAGGAAUUCCAAUGUGUGGCAGCACGUCUUGGAGUCGAGUAUUACCACCAAGCAAACCACUUCCCUCUGGACUGUCCUGAGCUGUGGUGGGCUGAUGGUGUCCACCUCAGUGAUGAUAUGAGGACUGGGUUAACCUGCAGCCAACCUUCAACUAGAGACACCACCACCUGCAGCACAGAUGCAGCG